CUCAGGACGAUCGCUGGCGGCGUGCUUAACACAUGCAAGUCGAACGGAGACGAUCCGGUGGCAACACUGGUGAAGGCUCAGUGGCGAACGGGUGCGGAACACGUGAGCAACCUGCCCCAAAGACCGGGAUAACACCGGGAAACUGGUGCUAAUACCGGAUACCCCCACGAGCUCGCAUGGGCUUGUGAGGAAAGGGUUUCCGCUUUGGGAGGGGCUCGCGACCUAUCAGCUUGUUGGUGAGGUAACGGCUCACCAAGGCGACGACGGGUAGCUGGUCUGAGAGGACGAUCAGCCACACUGGGACUGAGACACGGCCCAGACUCCUACGGGAGGCAGCAGUGGGGAAUCUUGCGCAAUGGGCGAAAGCCUGACGCAGCAACGCCGCGUGGGGGAUGAAGGCCUUCGGGUUGUAAACCCCUUUCAGUGGGAACGAAAUUGACGGUACCCACAGAAGAAGCCCCGGCCAACUACGUGCCAGCAGCCGCGGUGAUACGUAGGGGGCGAGCGUUGUCCGGAUUUAUUGGGCGUAAAGAGCUCGUAGGCGGCUUGGUAAGUCGGGUGUGAAACCUCCAGGCUCAACCUGGAGACGCCACUCGAUACUGCCCUGGCUAGAGUCCGGUAGGGGAUCACGGAAUUCCUGGUGUAGCGGUGAAAUGCGCAGAUAUCAGGAGGAACACCAGUGGCGAAGGCGGUGAUCUGGGCCGGUACUGACGCUGAGGAGCGAAAGCGUGGGGAGCGAACAGGAUUAGAUACCCUGGUAGUCCACGCCGUAAACGUUGGGCACUAGGUGUGGGGCCUUAUCGACGGGUUCCGUGCCGCAGCUAACGCAUUAAGUGCCCCGCCUGGGGAGUACGGCCGCAAGGCUAAA
rnacentral:rRNA from 1 species